rnacentral:rRNA from 1 species
GAUGAACGCUAGCGGCAGGCCUAACACAUGCAAGUCGAGGGGCAGCACAGAAACAGCAAUGUUUUGGUGGCGACCGGCGGACGGGUGCGUAACGCGUAUGCAACCUACCUUUAACAGGGGGAUAACGGAGGGAAAUUUCCACUAAUACCCCAUAACAUCGAUCAAGGCAUCUUGAUUGGUUGAAAACUCCGGUGGUUAAAGAUGGGCAUGCGUUGUAUUAGGUAGUUGGUGAGGUAAUGGCUCACCAAGCCUACGAUACAUAGGGGGACUGAGAGGGUAGCCCCCCACAAGGGUACUGGGACACGGACCAGACUCCUACGGGAGGCAGCAGUGAGGAAUAUUGGUCAAUAGGGGCAACCCUGAACCAGCCAUGCCGCGUGCAGGAAGACGGCUAUAUGAGUUGUAAACUGCUUUUAAACAGGGAUAAAGCACAGUAUGUAUACUGUGUUGAAGGUACUGUAAGAAUAAGGAUCGGCUAACUCCGUGCCAGCCGCCGCGGUAA